rnacentral:snRNA from 1 species
UCGCCAGAAGAUCAAUUUCAAUCGAACAUGGUUCUUGCCUUUUACCAGAACCAUCCGGGAAUUGUCUUUGUCAAUGGUGUAUCACUAUUUUUUGGAACAUUUCAUGAGUUAAAUU